GUGCCAGCAGCCGCGGUAAUACGUAGGUGGCAAGCGUUGUCCGGAUUUAUUGGGCGUAAAGCGAGCGCAGGCGGAAGAAUAAGUCUGAUGUGAAAGCCCUCGGCUUAACCGAGGAAUUGCAUCGGAAACUGUUUUUCUUGAGUGCAGAAGAGGAGAGUAGAACUCCAUGUGUAGCGGUGGAAUGCGUAGAUAUAUGGAAGAAUACCAGUGGCGAAGGCGGCUCUCUGGUCUGCAACUGACGCUGAGGCUCGAAAGCAUGGGUAGCGAACAGGAUUAGAUACCCUGGUAGUCCAUGCCGUAAACGAUGAGUGCUAAGUGUUGGGAGGCUUCCGCCUCUCAGUGCUGCAGCUAACGCAUUAAGCACUCCGCCUGGGGAGUACGACCGCAAGGUUGAAACUCAAAUAAAUUGACGG
rnacentral:rRNA from 1 species